GACGAACGCUGGCGGCGUGCUUAACACAUGCAAGUCGAACGGAAAGGCCCUGCUUUUGUGGGGUGCUCGAGUGGCGAACGGGUGAGUAACACGUGAGUAACCUGCCCUUGACUUUGGGAUAACUUCAGGAAACUGGGGCUAAUACCGGAUAGGAGCUCCUGCUGCAUGGUGGGGGUUGGAAAGUUUCGGCGGUUGGGGAUGGACUGGCGGCUUAUCAGCUUGUUGGUGGGGUAGUUGCUUACCAAGGCUUUGACGGGUAGCCGGCCUGAGAGGGUGACCGGGCACAUUGGGACUGAGGGACGGCGCAGACGGCUACGGGAGGCAGCAGGGGGAAAUAUGGCACAAUGGGGGGACGCCUGAUACAGCAACGCCGCGUGCGGGAUGACGGGUUUUGGGUUGUAAACCGCUUUCGCCGGUGACGAAGCGUGAGUGACGGUAAUGGGUAAAGAAGCACCGGCUAACUACGUG
rnacentral:rRNA from 1 species